rnacentral:sRNA from 1 species
CCGCGACGCCGCGCUGGUUGGUGCUCCUGCGCCGGAGGAGUUCUGCGUCUCGGGGUGGUGACUGGGUCCAGAAUGGCUUCGGAUUCGGGGAACCAGGGGACCCUCUGCACGUUGGAGUUCGCGGUGCAGAUGACCUGUCAGAGCUGUGUGGACGCGGUGCGCAAAUCCCUGCAAGGGGUGGCAGGUGUCCCGGAUGUGGAGGUGCACUUGGAGGACCAGAUGGUCUUGGUACACACCACUCUGCCCAGCCAGGAGGUGCAGGCUCUCCUGGAAGGCACGGGGCGGCAGGCGGUACUCAAGGGCAUGGGCAGCGGCCAGUUGCGUGAGUGACCACUGUGGCCUUGGCCCCUCUGGGAGGGAGGUGGCUCAGAGCUGGUACAAAUCUAAUCAUAGGAUUCUCGGGCUCUGGGUUGGAGUGGCUUUGAGGAAGGUGUGAAAAUUAUGUGAGACUCCCUGCCCUUCCCGAGCUGCUGAAGAGGUGUGCUGGGUGAGGUGGCAAGCCAGCCCAAGUGUCUAAUACCUUGCAGAAAAUCUGGGGGCAGCAGUGGCCAUCCUGGGGGGGUCUGGCACCGUGCAGGGGGUGGUGCGCUUCCUGCAGCUGACCCCUGAGCGCUGCCUCAUCGAGGGAACUAUUGAUGGCCUGGAGCCUGGGCUGCAUGGACUCCACGUCCAUCAGUACGGGGACCUUACAAACAACUGCAACAGGUGAGUUGUCUGAAGUCUCCCCAGUAGCAUUCUCAGCUACACAUUUUCACACUUGGCCCUCACCAAUACUCUGUGAGGCACAUACACACAGGCACAACCUCCAGAUGAGGAAACUGAGGCUCACAGAGGUUAAAUGACUUGCCAAAGGUCCAGAGCAGGUAAAAGGU